rnacentral:rRNA from 1 species
UACGGGGGGGGUAAGCGUUGUUCGGAAUUACUGGGCGUAAAGGGCUCGUAGGCGGCCAACUAAGUCAGACGUGAAAUCCCUCAGCUUAACUGGGGAACUGCGUCUGAUACUGGAUGGCUUGGAUUCGGGAGAGGAAUGCGGAAUUCCAGGUGUAGCGGUGAAAUGCGCAGAUAUCGGGAAGAACACCCGUGGCGAAGGCGGCUCUCUGGGACGGUACUGACGCUGAGACGCGAAAGCGUGGGGAGCGAACAGG